UAGCGGAGGAAAAGAAACCAACAGGGAUUGCCUUAGUAGCGGCGAGUGAAGCGGCAAAAGCUCAAAUUUGAAAUCUGGCGCCUUCGGUGUCCGAGUUGUAAUUUGAAGAUUGUAACCUUGGGGUUGGCUCUUGUCUAUGUUUCUUGGAACAGGACGUCACAGAGGGUGAGAAUCCCGUGCGAUGAGAUGCCCAAUUCUAUGUAAGGUGCUUUCGAAGAGUCGAGUUGUUUGGGAAUGCAGCUCUAAGUGGGUGGUAAAUUCCAUCUAAAGCUAAAUAUUGGCGAGAGACCGAUAGCGAACAAGUACAGUGAUGGAAAGAUGAAAAGAACUUUGAAAAGAGAGUGAAAAAGUACGUGAAAUUGUUGAAAGGGAAGGGUUUGAGAUCAGACUCGAUAUUUUGUGAGCCUUGCCUUCGUGGCGGGGUGACCCGCAGCUUAUCGGGCCAGCAUCGGUUUGGGCGGUAGGAUAAUGGCGUAGGAAUGUGACUUUACUUCGGUGAAGUGUUAUAGCCUGCGUUGAUGCUGCCUGCCUAGACCGAGGACUGCGAUUUUAUCAAGGAUGCUGGCAUAAUGAUCCCAAACCGCCCGUCUUGA
rnacentral:rRNA from 1 species